rnacentral:rRNA from 1 species
CGGCCGCCUGUUUAUCAAAAACAUGUCUCUUUGUUUUGGUUUAUAUAAAGAGUCUGACCUGCCCGGUGAUAAAAUAAUAUUUAACGGCCGCAGUACUUUGACUGUGCGAAGGUAGCAUAAUUAUUUGCCUUAUAAUUGAAGGCUUGUAUGAAUGGUUUGACGAGAAUAAAUCUGUCUUAAUUUAAUUUUUUAGAAUUUAACUUUUAAGUGAAGAGGCUUUUAUUUUAUUGAUAGACAAGAAGACCCUGUCGAGCUUUAUUUUUAAUUAUGAAUUUAUAUUUUUAUGUUGUUUUUAGAUUUUAGUUGGGGUGACUGAGGAACUGUAUGAGUUUCCUUAAUUAUUUAUAGAUUUAUAGAUUUUGAUCCAUGUAAAAAUGAUUAGUAGAAUUAGUUACCGCAGGGAUAACAGCAUAAUCUUUUUUGAGAGUUCUUAUCGAAAAAUGGGUUUGUGACCUCGAUGUUGGAUUAAAGUGUCCUAAAGGUGCAGAAGUUUUUAAGGGUUAGUCUGUUCGACUAUUAAAACUUUACAUGAUCUGAGUUCAAAC